GAGCUCGUCUCAAGCUGCUGCCGCUGCUGUCGUCUCUCUCUAUCUCUCUCUCACACACACACACACUCAUGGACCAUCACAUACAGACACGUACUGUGGAGUGCUGUACCCCUGUAAAACCGCGUAGGCUAUACAUCACGCUUGUGUUUGUCUGGAAAGAAAGCAUGAGAUGAAUGGUGGCGACUGUAUUCAAGACCUCAUCCUAAAGAAAGCCAUCCUGCUGUACAUUGUCCCUCAGAACAAAGUUGAGCCAGCGAAAGAAGAAGUCCACCAGUGAACGACAGCGAUGUUGUACAGCCGUUUAAAGAUCAGGCGAUCAGGAGGACCCCUGGGUGACAGCAGAGUGAUGAUGACAUCAGCGAGCGGGGCUUUGAAGCGCUGAGCUUCACAGGUCACAGAUCAGAGCACGGUCUUCUGGAGCUGACAGCCGGUGUGAGCGAGCGAGGCCGUCUCUGUCAGCGAUGC